rnacentral:misc_RNA from 1 species
GAUGAAGAACGCAGUGAAAUGCGAUAAGUAAUGUGAAUUGCAGAAUUCAGUGAAUCAUCGAAUCUUUGAACGCACAUUGCGCCCGUCAGUAUUCUGGCGGGCAUGCCUGUUCGAGCGUCAUUACGCCCCUCAAGUCCCCUGUGGACUUGGUGUUGGGGAUCGGCGAGGCUGGUUUUCCAGCACAGCCGUCCCUUAAAUUAAUUGGCGGUCUCGCCGUGGCCCUCCUCUGCGGAGUAGUAAAACACUCGCAACAGGAGCCCGGCGCGGUCCACUGCCGUAAAACCCCCCAACUUUUUAUAGUUGACCUCGAAUCAGGUAGGACUACCCGCUGAACUUAAGCAUAUCAAUAAGCGGAGGA